UAAAUUCGAGAAGGAUGUGCAGAGAUGAGACAGACUAUAUAUUGAGCAUGUUUAAAUCACAUAUAAAAGUUUGAAAGCUGAUAUUUUUUUAAGAAGUUUGUAAAUUUGCAAAUGAAAUAUACAUCAGUGUUAAAAAUGUCUAUACAAUAUGAACAGAUAAAAGAAACUGUUAAUUCAUGGCAAGUUAUCCAGGAGAAGCCGCAUAGUGCAAUUAAACAAUAGUACAAGGUAGGCCUGGCAUUAUGGGUUGGUUUUGGUUUUCAAAAUAUGGUUAUGGUUCCAUUUAAGAACUAAAACCAUAUUAAUCAUUUUUAAUAUAGGUUGUGUGGGUUGGAACUAUAUGGUUAUGGUUCAAAACCAUAUUAACCAUUUUAAGAUGUUUUGACUUUUAAACAUAACUUUUAAAAAAUGAAAUUGUGACCGUCACAAUUAAAUUAAUUAAGUGAUAAUAUGAUAUAAAAAUUAUUAAUAUAAAUAAUAAAAUGCUAAAAAACUAUACUAAUAAAAUUGUAAAUUGAAAUUAUUAAUACCCUUCCAUAUUUAAAUAAUUUUUCAAAAUUAUUAUUAACCUGUUAAUAGAAAGGUUGGAAUCCAAAAUACACCAUUUUAAGUUGAAGUGAAAUAAUUCAACAUAGAGAGAUUUUAAUGUUUAUUAUCUAGUUUUUGAAAGUACAUCUAUUUUUGCUAUACAAAAAUAUACUAUGGUAAUUACUCACUCCGUCCCAGGAUAAAAGUCUUGGUGAACUUUUCACGCAUAUUAAGAAGAGGAAUGAAAUAACAAAAUUGCCCAUAAUAAUGUCAUUAAUUAUGGAAAGAAUUAGAAUAAGAAAAAUAUGAGAAAUUUAAUACUACGGGUAUAAUAGGAAAAAAUGUAUAAAAAUUUGAUUAUUAAAGGAAAGUAGACAUUUAACAUGAGACAACCCAAAAUAGUAAUAAGGACUUUUAUCAUGGGACGGAGGGAGUAUUUAGCAAGAGAAUGUACAAAAAUACACACUAAAGUACUGUAAAUUGUCAAUUAGAAUACAACCCUGUAGCAAUUUUCAUUGAAAAAACGAAACAAUCAAGCACCUGUGAUCAUUAGUGUCCGUAAGUGUGAUCGUAAAUUCUGUUUUCACUUUAUGAGCAAGAGUGAAAUUCUACAAGUUGUAGAACUAUGGGUUGAAAAAUGAAAUGAAAUAUGGGUUGAAAAAUGGUUAACCGGUUCAGAACUAUAUUUGUUUUAAAAAAUAUGGGUCCAAACUUUAACCAACCUGAAUAAAUAAAAAUGGUUAACCAACUCAUUUGGUUCCAGCUAAUAUGGUUUGACCAAACAGCUAACUAACUAUAUUGCCAGGUCUAGUACAAGGGAGAGUAGUACUCACGUCUGUAGAGAUGCAGCAGAAUGGAAGUAAACUAUAGAAAAAGGC
rnacentral:lncRNA from 1 species